CUGGAGGUAUCAGAAGUGCGAAUGCUGACAUAAGUAACGAUAAAGCGGGUGAAAAGCCCGCUCGCCGGAAGACCAAGGGUUCCUGUCCAACGUUAAUCGGGGCAGGGUGAGUCGACCCCUAAGGCGAGGCCGAAAGGCGUAGUCGAUGGGAAACGGGUUAAUAUUCCCGUACUUGGUGUUACUGCGAAGGGGGGACGGAGAAGGCUAUGUUGGCCGGGCGACGGUUGUCCCGGUUUAAGCGUGUAGGUGUGUGUUCCAGGUAAAUCCGGUUCACUUUAACACUGAGGCGUGAUGACGAGGCACUACGGUGCUGAAGCAACAAAUGCCCUGCUUCCAGGAAAAGCCUCUAAGCAUCAGGUAACAUCAAAUCGUACCCCAAACCGACACAGGUGGUCAGGUAGAGAAUACCAAGGCGCUUGAGAGAACUCGGGUGAAGGAACUAGGCAAAAUGGUGCCGUAACUUCGGGAGAAGGCACGCUGACAUGUAGGUGAAGUGAUUUACUCACGGAGCUGAAGUCAGUCGAAGAUACCAGCUGGCUGCAACUGUUUAUUAAAAACACAGCACUGUGCAAACACGAAAGUGGACGUAUACGGUGUGACGCCUGCCCGGUGCCGGAAGGUUAAUUGAUGGGGUCAGCGCAAGCGAAGCUCCUGAUCGAAGCCCCGGUAAACGGCGGCCGUAACUAUAACGGUCCUAAGGUAGCGAAAUUCCUUGUCGGGUAAGUUCCGACCUGCACGAAUGGCGUAAUGAUGGCCAGGCUGUCUCCACCCGAGACUCAGUGAAAUUGAACUCGCUGUGAAGAUGCAGUGUACCCGCGGCAAGACGGAAAGACCCCGUGAACCUUUACUAUAGCUUGACACUGAACAUUGAGCCUUGAUGUGUAGGAUAGGUGGGAGGCUUUGAAGCGUGGACGCCAGUCUGCGUGGAGCCGACCUUGAAAUACCACCCUUUAAUGUUUGAUGUUCUAACGUGGACCCGUGAUCCGGGUUGCGGACAGUGUCUGGUGGGUAGUUUGACUGGGGCGGUCUCCUCCUAAAGAGUAACGGAGGAGCACGAAGGUUGGCUAAUCCUGGUCGGACAUCAGGAGGUUAGUGCAAUGGCAUAAGCCAGCUUGACUGCGAGCGUGACGGCGCGAGCAGGUGCGAAAGCAGGUCAUAGUGAUCCGGUGGUUCUGAAUGGAAGGGCCAUCGCUCAACGGAUAAAAGGUACUCCGGGGAUAACAGGCUGAUACCGCCCAAGAGUUCAUAUCGACGGCGGUGUUUGGCACCUCGAUGUCGGCUCAUCACAUCCUGGGGCUGAAGUAGGUCCCAAGGGUAUGGCUGUUCGCCAUUUAAAGUGGUACGCGAGCUGGGUUUAGAACGUCGUGAGACAGUUCGGUCCCUAUCUGCCGUGGGCGCUGGAGAACUGAGGGGGGCUGCUCCUAGUACGAGAGGACCGGAGUGGACGCAUCACUGGUGUUCGGGUUGUCAUGCCAAUGGCACUGCCCGGUAGCUAAAUGCGGAAGAGAUAAGUGCUGAAAGCAUCUAAGCACGAAACUUGCCCCGA
rnacentral:rRNA from 1 species